UCUCCUUUACCAGGGCAAAUCACUAUACCACAAGAACGUCUAAAAUCUCAGAUAUUAACCAGGAUGUGAAAGUGACUGCAGAGGGAUCAGGAGAGGCCACACUGACUAUGGUGUCGUUGUAUUACGUUCUGCCAACAGAGAAAGAAAGUGACUGUCAAAAGUUUGAUUUGUCAGUGGAGCUCAUUCAAGGUACUUCUGUAGCACCAUUAUUGUAUGCUUCACCCUUCCUGUUAUGUAUACUUUUGUGCUCACUCUGGAACUUGCCUUUUCAG